rnacentral:rRNA from 1 species
CCUACGGGUGGCAGCAGUGAGGAAUAUUGGUCAAUGGACGAGAGGCUGAACCAGCCAAGUCGCGUGAGGGAAGACGGCCCUACGGGUUGUAAACCUCUUUUGUCGGAGAGCAAAGCGAACCACGUGUGGCUCAUUGAGAGUAUCCGACGAAUAAGCAUCGGCUAACUCCGUGCCAGCAGCCGCGGUAAUACGGAGGAUGCGAGCGUUAUCCGGAUUUAUUGGGUUUAAAGGGUGCGUAGAUGGGUGGUUAAGUCAGUGGUGAAAGUUUGCGGCUCAACCGUAAAAUUGCAAUUGAUACUGGCAGUCUUGAGUACAGUUGAGGUAGGCGGAAUGCGUGGUGUAGCGGUGAAAUGCUUAGAUAUCACGAAGAACCCCGAUUGCGAAGGCAGCUUACUAAGCUGUGACUGACAUUGAUGCUCGAAAGUGUGGGUAUCAAACAGGAUUAGAUACCCGGGUAGUC